UCUGCUUCUUCUACUCAACAUGAGUUUCUUAUUUUCUUUGACACUCUAUAUUUGAGGAUUGUAAGUAUUCUGGCGUAAUCUGUUUCGCCACUUCUUUGUUGUAGUUGAUUUUCGUACUGCCAGGCUCGCACGCCUUAUUUUGUAACUUCUUGGCGAUUUAAAAAGAAUUGGCGCUGCUCGGAGUCGCCCUUCCACUAUACUUUGUGUCUGGUGUUGAAAAUAAUCUCGCCUUUGAAAAUUUUUAACUUUGCACCUGCAAUGUCUUUAGCUCUUUAAAUAUAAUUAUAUAUCCUUUAUGAAUAACUUUAUACCUGUUGCCUUUUGGCGGUUGUAACUGGUAUGGCGAUAUGUCGCCUUGUUUCGCUGCAUGACGAGCGAUUUGGUUGUGUCCUUCUUGCUUUUAGAAUCUUAUGACUUGACGUUAUGGUGAAUCGCCUUGUUUUGACUGUGUGUAAGCUUUGGUGGUGUUGAUAAUCCUGCCUUUCUUCGCUGUAUAUUUUCUUUUUUUGGCUCCCCCUACUCGUAAGGUUUACAGGUAGCGCCAGGACCUUUCAACCUUGGUUUAUUUUCUGUUUUUGACGCCCCCUACGGGUGACGCCAAGGCCUUUCAACCUUGUUUUAUUUUCUGUUUUUGACGUACCCUACUCGUAAGGUUUACAGGUAACGCCAGGGCCUUUCAACCUUGGUUUAUUUUCUGUUUUUGACGUACCCUACUCGUAAGGUUUACAGGUAACGCCAGGGCCUUUCAACCUUGUUUUAUUUUCUGUUUCUUCAGAGCCCGUAACUUAAUCAUGAUUGCUGCAAAUAAGCUUUGAUACAUUAAAGGUUCAACAAUAAUAAUAUAUGAAAAAUAAAACAAACAAAAGAUGAUACCGCCAUGGGUGUUUUGUUGCGGCGCUCCUCGCCUAGGAAAAGAAUUAUGUUUUGGCGUGGCGAGACUGAGUUCCUUUGCAGUAGUCAUUGCGGAAUAUGCUUCAACCUGAAAUAUUAGUUGGCGACUUCUAUCUCGCCGAAUGAUAUCCAUGAUCAGUUGCUUGUGUUUUAUGAUCUCCUAUGUAGGUGUCCUUCCUGAUUGUGU
rnacentral:lncRNA from 1 species